rnacentral:misc_RNA from 1 species
UGCCACCGGGGCCGCUGGCCGGAAGCCCCGUCCUCGUUCCCGCGUAGACGAUGCUCACGCCGUCAGGCUCGACGCCGAGCUCUUCGGCAACGCACUGAGCGACGACGGUUUCGGCGCUGUUUCCCCAGAAGGCGGUCGAGUAGAGCGUCGCCGUGACGCCGCCCGUCGCGUCGAUGCUCAGCGUGAUGCUCUCCGGAACGCUCGAGACGAAGAUCCCCUUGCCGCGGUCGAAGAACCACCACUCGUUCGCGGCAUAGACACUGCGCUCCUGGCACGUGACGAGGCCGAUGCCGAUAUAGCGGCCCUGCUCCCGCAGGCGCUGCUGCUCGCUCCGCCAGUGCUCGAGGUCCGCGAGCUCGAGCGCCUUGUCGAGCACCGCCUCGUAGUCGCCGCUGUCGUACUCGUUCCCGCCGGGAAUCUUGUAGGGGAACUGCUCCGGCCGGAUGAAGUUGUGCCGGCGCAGCUCGACAGGAUCGCGGCCGAGCUCGUGCGCGGCGAGAUCGACGAUCCGCUCGAGCACGAAGUUGUGCACCUCGGAGCCGAAUCCCCGGUACGCCCCCUGCUGGCACUUGUUCGUGAAGACGCCGCGUGCCCGGUACUCGAUCGCGUCGAUGCGAUACGGGCCAACGACCUGCGCCAUCGCGUUGCCGUGUGUGCCCAACCCGAACUGGAUGUAGGCGCCGUAGUCGUCGACGACGUCGAGUCGAAGACCCGUGAACGUGCCGUCCGCGGCGACCGCGAGCUCGACGUCGUAGGAUCGUUCAGAGCCGUGGUGGUCGCAGCAGGAGAGGUUGUCGAGACGGUCCUCCACGUACUUCACCGGCCGGCCGACGACCUUGCUCAGCAUCCCGGCGAGCACGUUGACCCGCACGGCCCAGAACUUCGAUCCGAAGCUCCCGCCCGCUGGAUGCGGAUGAAGGUCGAGCUUGUUCGCGGGAAUCUUCAUCGCCUUUGCGAGCAGGAACAGGAAGUUCGUGAGAGCGACCGAGUUCGAGUGGAUCGUCAUCAAGCCGGUCGCCGGGUCGUAGCUUGCGACAGCGCCCACGGUCUCGAGCGGCUGACCUCCGGUGCGGCCCCAGUUCAGGCGAUCGCGGACGACGAGCGCCGCGGUGGCGAACGCCUCGUCCACGUCACCGUAACUGAGCGUCGAGUCGAUCGCGACGUUGGUGCCCAGGGCCUCGUGGACCAGCGAGCCAGAAGGCUGCAUGGCCUCUCGUGCGUCGACGAUAGGGGCGAGCUCCGCAUAGUCGACCUCGAUCAGAUCGCGCGCGUCCUCUGCGACAUAGCGGCUCGAAGCGACGAUCGCGGCGACCGGCUCGCCGACGAAGCGGACCUUGUCGGAUGCCAUGCACCGCCACGCAUGCAAGUCGGGAGCCGGCCCGAAGUCCGGCAUCGGAUCGCACAAUUCCAUGGCAUCGAGGCAGGUCACGACUGCGGCGACGCCGGGUAGGCGCCGUGCCUGCUCGGCAUCGAUGCUGACGAUGCGGGCGUGCGCGAGUGGGCUGCGUAGCGUCGCCGCGUGAAGCAUCCCCGGAACGGCAAGGUCAUCGACGUAGUUCCCGCGCCCGAGCAGGAACUUCCGAUCCUCGACCUUCGGGAUCGAUUUGCCAAUCCAGCGGUACGUGGGAUCGGUUGCAACCGUCAUUCGGGCGCACCUUCCGUGGAGGGCUGCGAGCCGCUCGGAGCCGCGAGCCGAGCGGCGGCAUCGAGGACCGAGUCGACGAUGAACUGAUAGCCGGUACACCGGCAGAGGUUGCUCGCGAUUGCCUCGCGCGCCUCGGCUCUCGAGGGUGCGGGGUUCUCCUGCAGAAACUCCGUCGCGCGGAGCAGCAUCCCGGGCGUGCAGUAGCCGCACUGCAACCCGUGGUUCUCGAGGAACGCUUCCUGAAGCGGGUUGAGCCGUCCGUCGGGAGCAAGUCCUUCAACGGUCGUGAUCGACGAUCCGUCGACCUCCACCGCGAACGCGAUGCAGGAGCGUGCGGUUCGUCCGUCGAGGAGCACCGUGCAGGUGCCACAAACGCCGUGCUCGCAGCCGACGUGGACACCGACGAGGCCGAGGUCGUAUCGCAACAGGUCGACGAGCAGGCGUCUCGACUCGACGGUCGCUUCCACGGGCUGGCCGUUCACCUCGAGCGCUAUUCGAUGCAUGCUCAUGCCAACUCCCCCUGCGCUCGCUCGAUCGCGCGAAGGAGCGACCGCUUGACGUAGACGCGGGCGAGGCGUUGGCGAUAGCGCCCGGACCCGUGAAUAUCCGAGAUCGUCUCGAUCUCGUCGGCCGCCCGGGCUGCCACCUCGGCAACGAGCUCAGCGCUCGCGGUUUCUCCCUCGAGAAGCGCGGCUGCAGCGUUGACCCGAGUCGGGCGGGGCGACGCACCGAACACGACGAUCGCGGCAUCCCGCGCGCGCUUGUCCUCGUCCAGCCGGAGCACCGUAACGACGCCGGCGAGCG